rnacentral:rRNA from 1 species
UACGGAGGGAGCUAGCGUUGUUCGGAAUUACUGGGCGUAAAGCGCACGUAGGCGGUUAUUCAAGUCAGAGGUGAAAGCCCGGGGCUCAACUCCGGAACUGCCUUUGAAACUAGAUAGCUUGAAUCCAGGAGAGGUGAGUGGAAUUCCGAGUGUAGAGGUGAAAUUCGUAGAUAUUCGGAAGAACACCAGUGGCGAAGGCGGCUCACUGGACUGGUAUUGACGCUGAGGUGCGAAAGCCAGGGGAGCAAACGGG